rnacentral:tRNA from 1 species
GGUUAGAGUGCCGGCCUGUCACGCCGGAGGUCGCGGGUUCGAGCCCCGUCGCCCGCG